rnacentral:lncRNA from 1 species
GGGUAUCUAUAGGGCAGCCAUGGGGCAGCCAUGGGGUAGCUAUGGGCCAAGUAUGGGAUAUCUAUGGGGCGGCUAUGGGAUAUCUAUGGGGCAGCUAUGGGGCGGCUAUGGGGCAGCUAUGGGGCGGCUAUGGGGUAUCUAUAGGGCAGCUGUGGGGCAGCUAUGGGGCAGCUAUGGGGCGGCUAUGGGGCACCUAUGAGGUAUCUACAGGACAGCUAUGGGGCAGCUAUGGGGCAGCCGUGGGGCAGCCGUGGGGCAGCCAUGGGGCAGCUAUGGGGCAGCUAUGGGGUAGCUAUGGGGUGGCUAUGGGGUGGCUAUGGGGCAGCUAUGGGGUGGCUAUGGGGAAGCUAUGGUGCGGCUAUGGGGCACCUAUAGGGCAGCUAUGGGGCGGCUAUGGGGUAUCUAUAGGGCAGCUAUGGGGCAGCCAUAGGGCAGCUAUGGGGCAGCUAUGGGGCAGCUAUGGGGCCGUACCCGUGGGCGAUGCGGGGCAGCCGCAGCAGCAGAGCCCCCCCGGAGCCAUUCGUCGCCUUCAGCCGCCCCACAGCGCCGGCGUCCAGCAGCUGCUCCGCCCCCAAAGUGUGGGGCAGCCCCACGGCACCGCCCGGCACCGCCAUCAACUGCAGCACCGAACCUGCAGCCGCCAGCGCCGCCUGUGGGGACACAGCAGAAAUGUGGGGCGGACCCACAAGUGUGGGGCAGGGCCGGAAUUAAAGGGCGCAGACACACAAAUAUGGGGCCGGAGACCCACAAGUGUGGGGCACAGACCCCCAAAUAUAGGACCAGAGACACAGAAGUGGGGGGCAGAGCCACAACUGGGGGGCCAGAGACACCCAAAUAUGGGGCCAAAGACCCACAAGUGUGGGGCAGGGCCGGAAUUAAAGGGCACAGACACCCAAAGAUGGGGCCGGAGACCCACAAGUGUGGGGCAGGGCCAGAAUUAAAUGGCAUAGAUUCCUAAACAUGGGGCACAGACCCAGAAAUGUGGGGCACAGACCCCCAAAGAGACCCGUAAGUGUGGGGCAGACCCACAAGUGGGGGGCUAGAGACACCCAAAGAUGGGGCCAGAGACCCAGAAGUGUGGGGCAGACCCACAAGUGGGAGUCCAGAGACCCAGAAGUGUGGGGCAGAGCCAGAAUUAAAGAACACAGACCCCCAAAGAUGGGGCCAGAGACUCAGAAGUGUGGGGCAGACCCACAAGUGGGGGGCACAGACCCCCAAGUAUGGGGCCAGAACCCCAAAAGUGGGUAGCAGGCCCUUUUAAGACCCGCCCCCAGGAUGCCAUUGGCCCUGCCCACCCACAAGCCCCGCCCCCACUCUCCUAAGCCCCCCCCCUGGCAUUCCAUUGGACC